GACAGAGGGUGCAACCGUUGUUCGGAAUUACUGGGCGUAAAGCGCGUGUAGGCGGCUGCGCAAGUCGGAUGUGAAAUCCCAUGGCUCAACCAUGGAAGUGCACCCGAAACUGCGUAGCUUGAGUCUCGGAGAGGAAGGCGGAAUGCUUGGUGUAGAGGUGAAAUUCGUAGAUAUCAAGCGGAACACCGGUGGCGAAGGCGGCCUUCUGGACCGAUAUUGACGCUGAGGAGCGAAAGCCAGGGGAGCAAACGGG
rnacentral:rRNA from 1 species